GUCGUUCUCCGAGGUCUCCGUUUCGCGGUUUUCCCGUUUCGCCAGCUUGUUUCGCAGCCAUGAGACGAUCCAGCGUUUGGUGAGGGUGUGUUUCAGUUUCGUGGAAGGCUGUAAAGGAAAGAAAGAAGGUUGAGUUCCACGUUUCAGCUAAAGGGAAAAGGGAGUAAAUUUUCCUCUACGUGACCAGACAAGAACUGAUCGGGUUUAUAUUUUUUUCUGAUUGAGGGAUUGAUUUACUAACAGAAUAACAUUGGCUUGGUAUAAUGAACAAGUAAAGUAAAUCCAGAAUAUCAAAGAAACAGAAAAUUAAGAAAAAAAGCAAGACAAUUAAAGAAAAUCGAAGUGUUGACUUGGUAUAUUAGUAACUGCUUUCCUCGAAUGCAAAAAUAAAAGAACAAGCUGAAUUUAGUCAACUUAACGAAGACUGAAAUUAACAAAGCAAAGCAUCUGAUCAGAGUAAGGAAAAACAGAGUAUCAGAAUAGCAAUAUCAAUAUCAAAGACAAAAUCAAAAGAAAACAGAUAAUUAAGAAAACAAAAGCAAGAAAACAAGUAAAGAAAAUCAAAAGGAAAAAAAUAAAAAAGAAGGAAAGGACGGUCGGGAAUAAUGGUAAAUAAAGUAAACAAAUAAAAAAAGGAGACGAAGUAAAUAAAGAAAAGUAAAGAAGGAAAGGAUGGUCAAAGAUUAUGGAAAGAGGAAAAGUAAAAAAAGACAAUAUGGAGGAGAAAAAUUGAAUUGAGAGAGAACAAAGUAAAUAAAGACAAUAAUUGAAUUGCUUAUAACUGAUCAGAAUGAGGAAUAGAAGGCAACACAACAACACGUGGCAUUACCUAAGUUUGACGAGGAAGAAAGAAAAACAAAAGGAUGGUCAAGAGGACAAUAUAAAUAAGAGGAAAUGUGAAUUACUUCUGAUCAGAAAGGAAUAGAAGGCAACGUGGCUUUACCCAAGUUUGACAGGACAUAAGGAGACUACAAGGGCAAAACGACAAAAAACAAAACAAGUAACUUACCUGACGAAGAAGAUUAGUAACACACAGACGACACAGCAGCAGCAAAGCACUCCAUCAGUCAAUUAAUAAAGGGAAGCAGCAAAUUAAGAAGCAAACAAAUAAAACAGGUUAAAUCUUUAUUAUUUGGAAGCAGCUGAUGACAAGUUCGGUUAGGUUGGGUUACGCCUUUAUGAAGCAGCACAUUGGGGCGGAACUACAGCAUUGGUUAUAAGCAUGUCGGUUAUAACAUAAGUAUUGGGUAUUUAAUGUUGGUUUGGGAUUGUAUAAGGUAAGUAAGGUUGUUUGUUAGGUGGUAAAACGUUUUGGAACAGGUGUAUUGAGGGUAACAGUUGGUUUGUUAGGUGGUAAAACGUUGUGGAAUAAGUUUGGGUUAUCACUUAGUUAAUAUAGAAAGGGUUAUAGCAUAUGUUAAAGCAUUUUGUAUUAGGGUUGUAUUAGGUUAUAAGUAUGUUUGUUGUUGUUGUUCUAAUUAUUGGGUAUAUUAAUGUUAGUAUAAUUAGUUGUUUGGUAUUGUGUAUUGAGGUAAGUCAGGUUUGGUUGUUAGGUGGUAAAACGUUCUGGAAUAGGUUAUAUGUUUAGAGUUGGUUAGGUGUUAAAGCAUUUUGUAUAGGUUUCUUGAGGUAUAGCAGUUAGCAUGUUAUAUUAGGUAUAGGUUCCUCAUAUCAGAGGCAGCGUUAGACCACACAUUGGUAAGGAUCACACACACAUGGACAGAGGCACACAGCAAUGGCAGGAAGGAAGCACAUGGCCACGAAAAAAUGCAUGGCGAACAAGUAAAAAUGUACAAAAAAGUACAAAGCCACAGAAAGCUAAAAAGAAAUGGACAAAUUAAACAAAAGAGGACUGACAAAAGCUUAAAAAAUGAAGACAACCCCCAAACAAAAAGAACUGAGACCGGAAGUUAAAGAAGACAGUUUAAAAGAAAAAAACAUGAACAAACCUCCCCCCAACCCACCCACC